rnacentral:sRNA from 1 species
UGGUGGACGACCAGGCCGUGUGCGACUGCUCGCGAACCGGCUUCCGCGGCAAGGACUGCAGCCAAGCUGGUGUGAGCAAUCUACACAUAAACUCCAGGUG